GACGAACGCUGGCGGCGUGCUUAACACAUGCAAGUCGAACGGACGAGUGAGAUAAGUUUACUUAACUCACAAGUUAGUGGCGGACGGGUGAGUAACACGUGGAUAAUCUACCUGCAACACCGGGAUAACGCUGUGAAAACGGUGCUAAUACCGGAUACGUUCCCUUGUGCGCAUGUAUGAGGGAAGAAAGCUCAGGCGGUUGCAGAUGAGUCCGCGGCUGAUUAGCUAGUUGGUGAGGUAAAGGCUCACCAAGGCGAUGAUCAGUAGCCGGCCUGAGAGGGUGAACGGCCACACUGGGACUGAGACACGGCCCAGACUCCUACGGGAGGCAGCAGUGGGGAAUCUUCCGCAAUGGGCGCAAGCCUGACGGAGCAACGCCGCGUGGGUGAAGAAGGCCUCGGUUGUAAGCCUGUCUUAUGGGAGAAAAAUAGACGGUACCAGAGGAGGAAGCCCGGCCGUAACUACGUGCCAGCAGCCGCGGUAAGAGUAGUACA
rnacentral:rRNA from 1 species